rnacentral:lncRNA from 1 species
ACUCCCUUUCGCAGGAAACACAGUAAGAAAAGCCAGAAGUCAAGUGUCUUUCCCUACUCCCUACCUUAGUUACAGAGCAAGAGGAUAUAAAGAUGUUAGGAUCAAAUGAAUUCUAAGGUGCUAAGAGCCUAGUUGCAAUGAUAGAUUUCCCAGAAAACGAAUUGAAUGGAAUGGAAUAAGAACAGCCAAACCACUUUCGAUAAUACCUAAUACCUGGCUCAAGUAAAGACAUAGCUUACCAGUGGCUCAAGUAAAGACAUAGCUUACCAGCACCCCUAAGUUAUCUCGAAGACUUUCCUAUAACUGGAAAUCAAUCUACCUUCUGUUUCCGCUUCUAAUCUUUAUCUUAAGUCAACAGCAAUAGGUUCUGCACUUCAAGGAUGGGUCGGGUUCAUUUACAUGCUUUCUUCGCAAGGGGAGGAGCUUUAUGUGCCAGUGUUGUAGGGAAAGGAAGCCUGCAAGACCAACAUAGGGAAUUUGCCAAUUAUUGAGUGCAAUACCGAGAAACUAUAUUCUUAGCAGAAGGUCUUCCCCGGCUCCACUACACCUCCGAUGAAACAGGACUGGUGGACUGCGAACUCCGUUAGUGCGUAUACUUACAACGUUGCUUGCCCCCUAAGAGUAUAGUUCACUUUCCUCGCAACUAAGCC